rnacentral:rRNA from 1 species
AAUGCACGCAAGUGCGAUGGGGGGACUCCGAGUGCAGUCUUCCAAAACGGAAGGCCGCUUUUCUGCACUUUAAGCAGGUGCCGAAACAAGGGGUGGGCAAGACGGCUGCCAGCCGCCGCGGUAAUAGCCGCACCCCGAGUGGUAGUCAUUGUUAUUGGGCUUAAAGUGUUCGUAGCCGGACACACAAGUCUGCUGUGAAAUCCAUGCGCUUAACGUAUGGACAUGCAGCGGAUACUGUGUGUCUAGGAACCGGACGGCGUCGAGGCUAUUCCCGGGGUAGGGGUGAAAUCCUAAAAUCCUGGGAGGAGCACCUGUGGCGAAAGCGCUCGACGAGUACGGAUUCGACGGUGAGGAACGAAAGCCAGUGGAGCAAAGCGGAUUAGAUACCCGCGUAGUACUGGCUGUAAACAUUGUGCGUUUGAUGUCGGACAACCUCCGAGGUUGUCCGGUGCCGAAGUGAAAACGUUAAACGCACCGCCUGGGGAGUACGGUCGCAAGGCUGAAACUUAAAGGAAUUG